CACUCCUACCUCUGUGGGUUAUUGAAAGUUAAGAAUUCAGUUUGAUUUGGAAAGUGUUGGCUUAAAAGCUUUAACCGACGAGGAUGUUAUGUUAGUCUUGUUUACACCAUUUUAACUCUAUUGCCAACGUUUUGGUAAAAAAAA